UACGUAGGGUGCAAGCGUUGUCCGGAAUUAUUGGGCGUAAAGAGCUCGUAGGCGGUCUGUCGCGUCGGCUGUGAAAACCCGGAGCUCAACUCCGGGCCUGCAGUCGAUACGGGCAGACUGGAGUUCGGCAGGGGAGACUGGAAUUCCUGGUGUAGCGGGUGAAAUGCGCAGAUAUCAGGAGGAACACCGAUGGCGAAGGCAGGUCUCUGGGCCACUACUGACGCUGAGAAGCGAAAGCAUGGGGAGCAAACAGG
rnacentral:rRNA from 1 species